rnacentral:rRNA from 1 species
UACGAAGGGGGCUAGCGUUGCUCGGAAUCACUGGGCGUAAAGGGUGCGUAGGCGGGUCUUUAAGUCAGGGUGAAAUCCUGGAGCUCAACUCCAGAACUGCCUUUGAUACUGAGGAUCUUGAGUUCGGGAGAGGUGAGUGGAACUGCGAGUGUAGAGGUGAAAUUCGUAGAUAUUCGCAAGAACACCAGUGGCGAAGGCGGCUCACUGGCCCGAUACUGACGCUGAGGCACGAAAGCGUGGGGAG